GGUGAGGGCUCCAGCAUGGCAGGCUGCAGGUCCCGAGCCCUGCCCCCUUGCCCCGCGGGGAGGUGGCUGAGGCCCAGCGAAAAUUCGAGCGCGGCGCCGGCGGGCCAUCACUGUUGGAGGACCCAGUGCACCCUCCGCAGCUGUUGGCCCGGGUGCUAAGCCUCUCACUGCCCAGGGCCGGCGGCGCCAGCCGACCGCUCAGAAUGCGGGGCGCGCCGAGCCCGCGCCCACCCGGAAGUCGCGCUGGACCUGCGAGCACCGCAGGCAGCCCAGGUUCCGGCCCGCGCCUCUCCCUCCACACCUCCCCGCCAGCAGAGGGAGCCCGCUCAGGCCUCAGCCAGCACAGGGAGGGGCUCCCACGGUGCAGCUGCGGGCUGAAGGGCUCCUCAAGCGCGGCCAGAGUGGGCUGAGGCCGAGGAGGCGCGGAGAGCCAGCGAGGGAUGCCAGCAAGCUGUCACCUCUCAGAAAUACAGGAAGAACAUCAAUAAUGUUCGAAGUUAUAAAUUGCGGAGGUCAGAAGUCAGAAAACAAGGUGUCUGCAGGACCAACCUCUCCUCUGGAUGCUCUAGGUGUUGAAAUUUCCAGGAUGCAAAACGAAGGGGCAAUUCAAAACAUUCAUCUCCACUUCUCAAAAGUUUUCUUGGCUUGAUUGAUUUGGUGAGCUGAAAGAAAGACACUGCUUCAUCAGAAUUCAAACAACAGAAAACAUCUCCCAGCCACAUCAAGCAAGCAGCAGCGACGUGUUUCUCUUCAACACGGAUAAUUGCCUUAACAAUACGUCAUCCUGGUUCACAACAACGCAGUAGAUAUGCUGACCACUGACAGUAACAAAAUGACCUGCAUGGUUCAAAG
rnacentral:lncRNA from 10 species